CUUUAUUGGAGAGUUUGAUCCUGGCUCAGGACGAACGCUGGCGGCGUGCCUAAUACAUGCAAGUCGAGCGAGUCCCUUCGGGGGCUAGCGGCGGACGGGUGAGUAACACGUAGGCAACCUGCCCGUAAGCUCGGGAUAACAUGGGGAAACUCAUGCUAAUACCGGAUAGAGUCUUCUCUCGCAUGAGAGGAGACGGAAAGGUGGCGCAAGCUACCACUUACGGAUGGGCCUGCGGCGCAUUAGCUAGUUGGUGGGGUAACGGCCUACCAAGGCGACGAUGCGUAGCCGACCUGAGAGGGUGACCGGCCACACUGGGACUGAGACACGGCCCAGACUCCUACGGGAGGCAGCAGUAGG
rnacentral:rRNA from 1 species